rnacentral:rRNA from 1 species
UUUUUUUUUAGCAAGACCGAGUUGUAAUCUGAAGAUGGCAACUUUGGGAAUGGCCUUUAUGCUAUGUUCCUUGGAACAGGACGUCACAGAGGGUGAGAAUCCCGUCUGAUGAGGUGAUCCAUUUCUUUGUAAAGUGCUUUCGAAGAGUCGAGUUGUUUGGGAAUGCAGCUCUAAGUGGGAGGUAAAUUCCUUCUAAAGCUAAAUAUUGGCGAGAGACCGAUAGCGAACAAGUACAGUGAUGGAAAGAUGAAAAGAACUUUGAAAAGAGAGUGAAAAAGUACGUGAAAUUGUUGAAAGGGAAGGAUAUUAGAUCAGACUUGGUGAAUACNGAUUAUUGUUCUCUUGCAGGGCAUGCUACUCGGUAUACACUGGGCCAGCAUCGAUUGGUUCGGUAGGAUAAUAACAUUUGAACGUGGCUUUACUCCGGAAAAGUGUUAUAGCAUUUGUUGAUACUACCUGGGUCGAUCGAGGACUGCGUCUUUUUUGAUCUAGGAUGCUGGCGUAAUGAUCUAAUAUCGCCCGUCUUGAAAGCACGGACCAAGGGCGAAUUCCCCAGUG